GUAGGUGGCAAGCGUUGUCCGGAAUUAUUGGGCGUAAAGCGCGCGCAGGCGGUUCUUUAAGUCUGAUGUGAAAGCCCACGGCUCAACCGUGGAGGGUCAUUGGAAACUGGAGAACUUGAGUACAGAAGAGGAAAGCGGAAUUCCACGUGUAGCGGUGAAAUGCGUAGAGAUGUGGAGGAUCACCAGUGGCGAAGGCGGCUUUCUGGUCUGUAACUGACGCUGAGGCGCGAAAGCGUGGGGAGCAAACAGGAUUAGAUACCCUGGUAGUCCACGCCGUAAACGAUGAGUGCUAAGUGUUAGGGGGGUUUUCCGCCCCCCUUAGUGCUGCAGCUAACGCAUUAAGCACUCCGCCUGGGAGUACGGCCGCAAGGCUG
rnacentral:rRNA from 1 species